GACGAACGCUGGCGGCGUGCUUAACACAUGCAAGUCGAACGGAAAGGCCCUGCUUUUGUGGGGUGCUCGAGUGGCGAACGGGUGAGUAACACGUGAGUAACCUGCCCUUGACCUUGGGAUAACUUCAGGAAACUGGGGCUAAUACCGGAUAGGAGCUCCUGCUGCAUGGUGGGGGUUGGAAAGUUUCGGCGGUUGGGGAUGGACUCGCGGCUUAUCAGCUUGUUGGUGGGGUAGUGGCUUACCAAGGCUUGGACGGGUAGCAGGCCUGAGAGGGUGACCUGCCACAUUGGAACGGAACUGCGGCCCAGACUCCUACGGGAGGCAGGAGUGGAGAAUAGUGCACAGUGGGCUGAGGGCUGGUCCAGCAACGCCGCGUGCGGUAUGACGGCCUUCGGGUUGUAAACCGCUUUCGCCUGUGACGAAGCGUGAGUGACGGUAAUGGGUAAAGAAGCACCGGCUAACUACGUG
rnacentral:rRNA from 1 species